AAUUCUAAAUUUGAAGAUUAUGGUGAUCUUGUACAAUCUAAAUAAGACUUUGUGACGACACAUUUCCUGGCACAUCCAAAACGGCUCACAAUUAGCCAGCAUUCAGGCUAAGGGAGAUAGCCUACGGGGGUUUGUGAGUAUGCGUCUUUUGCAGCAUCCGCGCCCAUGGGGGCUGGGUUGAGGGAGGCUUAAAAGCAAGGCUGUUUAGUUCAAAUAAAGUUAUUCGACUGCAGUUUACUGACUGCGUGAGCACACCGCUACAACGUGUUUUUAUCGCUAUUAAUAUACGUCACCACUGCCAAUACCUGACACCCGUCAGUGCGCGAUUUCUUUAAUUUUUCGAUCCAAGGUAAGCCAACUAUGGAGAAUUCUAAAAAAAGAAAAGUGACUGAAGAAAACAAAACGUUUAAUGAUACUUGGACAGAUUCAUUUGCUUUCACUGUUGACGAGACUGGUUUACCGGUAUGCUUAAUAUGCAAUGAGAAACUAGCAAACAACAAAAAGUCAAAUGUCGCAAGGCAUUUCCAGAAUAAACACGCAGCUUUUGCUCAAAAAUAUCCGGAUGGAGAUGAGAGAAAAAAAGCCAUUUCGGAACUGAUGCGGAAGGUUGAUCUGAGCAAAAAUCAUUUCCAGAAAUGGAUGAAGUCUGGAAAAUCAACGACAUACGCUAGUUAUAUUGCCGCUCAGGAAAUAGUCAGGCACGGGAAGCAGUUUACAGAUGGUGAAUAUAUAAAAGAAUCUUUCAUUAAGAUUUCAGAACAUCUAUUCACGGACUUUAAAAACAAGAGUGAAAUUGUGCAGAAAAUCAGGGAUAUGCCCCUCUCUGCAAAGACUGUCAAAGACAGAACCAUAAAAAUGGCAGAAGACAUCACAAGUCAGCAAAUUGAAGACAUCAAUUCAGCUGUGGCCUACUCGAUUGCCUGUGACGAGUCUAAAGACAAAGGUGAUAUUGAACAAAUAGCGCUGUUCUGCCGGUAUGUAAACUCUGCCGGGCCACAGGAAGAACUGAUUGAGUUGAUACCUCUAAAAGAACAAACACGGGGGGAGGACAUCUGUGAGGCUGUCUUGAAUUGUUUAAGAGCCAAAGGAAUAAAGACCACCCAUCUGGUGUCAGUAGCUACUGGUGUCAGGGCACCGAAUAUGACGGGAACGCACAAGGGAUUUGUGGCUUUACUGCAGAAGUCGCUGGACAGAAAGCUGCUGACUUUUCACUGCAUCUUGCACCAAGAGGCACUGUGCGCUCAAACAUUUCCUCCAGAAUGCACAGAAGUAAUGGAUGUUGUCAUUCAGAUUGUCAAUAAAAUAAUGGCAAAAAGUUUAAAUCACCGUCAAUUCCGUUUGUUACUGGACGAGCUGGAAAGCGCAUAUUCUGAUCUCCUGCUGCACAACAAAGUCCGGUGGCUGUCCAAAGGGGAGGUGCUGAAACGCUUUGUCGCGUGUCUGGAAGAAGUGAAAACGUUCCUGGGCAGCAAAGGGCUCACCUUUCCUGAGCUGGAACAGCCAGAGUGGCUGGAAAAGCUACACUUCAUGGUAGACAUGACAGCGCACCUGAACACGCUGAACACAGCUCUUCAGGGGAAAGGACGCACAGCCCUGCACAUGUUGGAGGAUGUUUUGGCAUUCGAGCGCAAGUUGACAGUGCUUGCCAGAGAUUUACAGAAAGGCACUUUGUCUCACUUCCCCAAUUUGAGAGAGUUCAAACAAGGUCACGACAUGAUAAUUUCGGAGUAUUUACAUUCUGCAAUCAUCGCAAUGCAAACAUCGUUUGGGAAACGCUUCUGUGAGUUCAGAGAGGAAAAAAACACAUUAUCCUUCCCGGUCACUCCCUUAAGCAUCGAUCCUUCCCUACUGAAUACGACUGCAUUGGCAGGUGUGAGUAAACCUGAUCUUGAGAUGGAACUGGCCGACAUAGCCAACAAAGACAUAUGGGUGUCCAAGUUUAGACGCUUGACAGCAGACCUUGAAGAUGUUGCCCGUCAGAAGGCCGUUCUUGCUCAGAAUCACAAAUGGAGUGAUAUUGAAAACCUCCCAAAACCAGACAAACUUGUGUUCCAAACAUGGAAUGCUAUGCCCGACAUUUAUGUAAACAUGAAAAAGUAUGCGCUUGGAGUCCUGUCGAUCUUUGGAUCCACAUAUGUAUGUGAGCAGGUGUUCUCCAACAUGAACUUUAUUAAAAAAACAUCGCGCACGCCUCACAGAUGACAGUUUGCGAUCCUGUGUAAAGAUGAAGGUGACGUCAUACAGCCCUGAUGUGCAGACGUUGUGCGCUGAGGUCCAGGAGCAGAAAUCCCAUUAACCAAGCUGACAGCUGGCUGAUGUUAUUUUUGGUUUGCUGCUGGCGGAAAAUUUAAGUUCGGCGUUUUUCAUAAAUACAAGAAGGACACAAAUAGACAUUGAGUAUUUUACUUAAAAGUAACCUUCAACCCGUCUUUUUUUCGGAGUUCAAAAUGUUUUUGUUGCAUGCAGCAAUGUAAUUUCGUUUUCUCUGCAGGAGUUGAUCAAUUUCAUAAAUGCAACACAUUAUAGUUUGUUUAUACAUAGCAUAAAGGCAAAAAAAAACGUUGUAUGCAGUGUUAUUUCAUUUUAAAUGUCAAACGGGUUUUGCGGCUCCCAGUGUUUUCUUUUCUGUGGGAAACGGGUCCAAGUGGCUCUUUCAGUGGUAAAGGUUGCUGACCCCUGUCCUAGACUCUCCCACCAUGGGCAUCAUCCUUAACAUAUCUACUGCCCAGACCUUUCAACAUUUGAAAGGCUUCAAUGAGAUUCCCCCCCUCAUCCUUCAGUUAGUACAGACCCAGAGCCAUCAAACGUUCUUCACUUAAUAACCCCCUUCAUUCCUGGAAUCAUCUUUGUUAACCUCCUCUGGACUCUUUCCAAUGCCAGCAUAUCUUUUCUAAGAUGAGGGGCCCAAAACUGUUCACAAUACUCAAGGUGAAGCUUCACCAGUGCCUUAUAAAGCCUCAGCAUCAUGUCCUUACUCUUAUAUUCUAGACCUCUUGAAAUUAAUACUAACAUGGCAUUUACCUUCUUCACCACCGACUCAACCUGCAAGUUAACGUUCAGGGUGUUCUGCACAAGGAGUCCCAAGUCCCUCUGUAUCUCAAAUUCCUGGAUUUUCUCCCCAUUUAGAAAAUAGUCCACACGUUUAUUUCUAUUACCAAAGUGCAUGACCAUGGAUUUUCCAACAUUGUAUUUGCCACGUCCAAGUCCUUAUGCAUCAUACCCAUUUCCUCAACACUAUCUGCCCCUCCACCAAUCUUCGUAUCAUCUGCAAACUUGGCAACAAAGCCACCUAUUGCAUAAUCUUAAUCAUUUAUACACAGCAUAAAAAGUAGUAGUCCCAACACUGACCUCUGCAGAACACCAUGAACUGGCUAAAAUUUAUAAGCUUAACUGCUCCUUUUGUCCUAACAAACAGGCCUUAAUAAAAGAUCUUAACACUAAAAAUGUUGCAGGCUGCAGGCCCUAAGCAGACACAUUAACUCAUAAUGCACCAUUACAUGUACUAAUAAUGUUAGUAUUUGAAGAUAAACUACCUAUUUACUCUUAUGGCUAGAGCCUUUAGGUACAUUAUUUGUCUAUAGUAUCAUGAAGAUUUACAAGUAUUCAAAAAUGCCGAUAGAUCAAUCAAUCUUUAAACCAAUGCUGGCCACUCAAUCCUCCUAUUUUCUAGGUGUUUCAUUUUUACACCUUUCAAUAAAGAUUCUAAUGUUUUCUCUUCUACGGACAUUUGUUAACAGAUUGGUAGUUUUUCCAUUUAGUAUUUUCCCCUUUUUUGUAAAAAAAAGUGCAGUCACAUUUGCUGCUCCCUGUCUGCAGAAAAUAUUAGAGACUAUAUAAAAGAAUUUUAAAAGGUGCAUCCAAUAUCCUUCAAAAUUCUGGAUUGGGAUCUUAUAUCCUUGGAAUUUAAGAGUUUCAGGCCAUCAAUCUAUUUUUUAAAAUUAAUUCCACUUGCCUCCAUUCCUCAAUCUUGCUGGGUGCUCAGUUCUCAACUAGUAAUUUCUGCUGAGGUUUAAUUUCUCUGCCAUUUCCAUAUUUGCCAAUAUAUUUCUUUCCCUUCUGCCAACACUGAGCUCAUUUGCCUUUAUUAUUUCAAUUUCAGACACCAGUACGAACAUUUCAUUUCUCACUAGUGCUCUUACUUUGAUUUGCCUUCUUCUAAAAUGUUCCCAGUACUCGGACCUACUAGUGUUCCCACAAUGUCAGAAACCCAAUCUUUUGAUUACAUAUUAUCUUUAACUACUCCCCUCAGCUAAGCUAGGCAUUAUCUUGAUGGAUUUCUGUACUUUAACAUGUUUUGUAAAUUAAAUUUCUCACCUGGCAAGUCAUAUUACCACAGUUUAAAUGAUGUUUCCCUCUGAACUGAAGCUAAUUCACCUCUCAGACCUUCACAGUCCCAAUUGGAUUGAGAACCUAGUUUAGAUUGAAUUUCACUCCCAAUAACCCACCUUAAUUUUUAAUUAGUUGAAUAAAUGGUACAAAUUUUAUUUCAAUACUACUACUUUUUGUUGGGUCAUGAGACCAGAUCUAUAGAACCAAACCACAGCCAGCUACAUUUAGUCAGAUAUUAAUCAUCUAUCCCCCAUUAAAAAUAAAUUCUCCAAUUGCCCUUGACUACUGACCACCUAUUCUGAUCUUUUUGUUACCAACCUCAGCAUUUCCAAUGUGUGGAGAGUGAAACUGAUUUGAAAUGUUAACCACUCUACAAUGUUCUUUACCUUAAUUAAUCACUUGAGAUUUCCUUGUUUUUCAACCCUUCAGGUACUUACAAGAGUACUUAAAGCACCCUCUUGUAAGUGUUAAUAAAGUUGGCCCUCCUUAUCCGCGGUGAGGUUGGUUCUGGGGCCCAUUAUAUAAAAUGGUCUAAUAUUUGCAUAUAACCUACGCACAUCCUCCCAUAUACUUUAAAUCAUCUCUAGAUUACUUAUACCUAAUACAAUGUAAAUGCUGUGUAAAUAGUUGUUACACUGUAUUGUUUAUUGACAAGGAAAAAAGUCUGUACAUGUUUAUUACAGACGCAAUCAUAGUAGCUCUUCUGGGAACGCUGAAGCUGCCUCGGCAUCAGCCGAUCCCGAUUCUCCUGUGAACUUAAGUUCUUGAGGCUGUAGUGCUUUAUAUAGCUAGCCCACCAUCCCUUACCAGCCUGAAACUCCUUCGUAUUGCUCACAAGUAGUGAACGAAUGAGACACGAGAUUAACAAUUCUGAACUUCCGGAUUUUCCCGAUCCGCAGUUGGUUGAAUCUGUGCAUGCAGAACCCACAGAUAAGGAGGGCCGAUUGUAGUACAAAUCAGAAGUAACCAGAACUCUGUGGCAAAGAUAGCACUUGCAGAACCAAACCAUUCAUACCUUUAUGUUGCAAGUGCAAUAUUUUCCAUCCCCAAGACAAAAAUUAAAGACAUUUGCUCCACAUCCAGUUAAUCACUGCCCUUUCACAGCUUGAAAAGAUCUAUCCGGGGUCACUGAUACUAGCAUUAAGUCCCUUAGCACAGUGAACCCAAACAUGACAGCUGUGAGGUUGGGUGCACGUGGAAUUUUUUUUGUUUUGGAAAUUCAUGAGCAACAUCUCAGCAGGCCCUCCAAUUUUUCAAAAAAUGUUAGCCAGAAAAAACCACAAUCUACAAAUCAGUAAACAAACAAAGCCAUGUGGUGGCAAGAAUGGAGGUGGUCAUUUUGUGAGACUAUCCUUGCAGUUGCCAUUAUGUGAACUAUUUGGUGAAUUGAUUCUUGCACUGUGACCUUGUGCAGUUGAACAUGGACAGUUUGUUAAUGAUCUGCUAAACUUGAGAUGAUUCUCAGUUAAAAAGCUACUACUAUACAAAAUGGAAGGUUUGCAGAAGGAACAGCCUGUGAUUUGGUUAGCUGGCCCAGUUGUUCAGUAACCUGGCUUGAGUUGGGGGGGAAAAAAAUCACCCAAGGCUAGAGGAAAAGUUAAAGUGAUACUGCUUGUAGCCCUGUUGCACAUCCACUGAGAAUUAAAACACAUGUCACAUGACCUCAAGCCCACAAAACUGAAAAUUCAUGGAUUGACCUAAUAGGAAAAGACUAAGUGUGGGAGCACAGGAACAAACACUGGCAACCUGAGACCAACCACUAUAGAUACAGCUGACCCAUCAGGCAUAUUGAGAUUAGAUCAGGAUCUCAAGGAACACCAGGCUAACAGACCUUCUCCCCGCAACGCCCCCCCCCCCCACCAAUUAUUUUUUCUAUUCUUUGACUGUUCAUGGUCAGGGAAACCUUGUGAGUGAGCAGUUAGUUAUUCUGUAAACUUACAUGCUUGCUAGUUGAGAUAAUAAUCAGUAUUAUUAAUGGGUCAUCCUUGUAACAUUAGUGAAACAUGAAUAGGGAAGUCCAGAGUUAGGAUGGGAAAACGGAUCAUUAAGUGGAUAAGGGAUGAAAGUAAAAUGGUUGUAGAAAAUCAGCAAAUGUCAUUGGAAUCAAAUCAGCUCAAACAUUUUGUUUGUUUACC